CUGACACACAUGCAAAAAGAACAGACAGCUGAACAGCAUAAGACGACAACAUCUGAGCACAGAGAAAAUGAAAAAGGCACAAAAAGAGAGAAAAUAACAGAGCCACUUUGAAGUCAUUACCAUACCAAUGGCUGCUCUGCAAACUUAGUCAGCCUGGAAUUUAGAAGAAUUUAAAAAAGCAGGGAGAACCGGCUAUAGACCAUGACGUAUGUGGGCGUCAGCGAAUGAAACAACUGAGCAUCCAGUGAUGGAAAAAAGGGAUACACAUUCAGACGUGAAAGAGGAGGCUGAAUAUUGUGAGACACUGAGGAAGG